rnacentral:rRNA from 1 species
GUCUACGGCCAUGCCACCCUGAACAAGCCUGAUGUCUGAUCUCAGAAGCUAAGCUGGGUUGAGCCUGGUUAGUACUUGGAUGGGAGACUAGGAAUACCAGGUGCUAUAGGCA